GCCACCCUGAUGAAUCAACACAACGUCAAUCUGAUUCUAAUCAAAACGUCAAUUGGUGAAUGGCCCAAAGCCCAGGAAGGGCCCAGGGUCAAGACUCCCAUCGCCAACUCGACCCCCUCCCUCACUCUUGGGACGAAUUGGGGACCAUGCAGUGAUCCUGGAUGCAUGGAUUGGCCAGGCCUAUUGGGUUUUUGGACAUUGGAGACUGUCCCAUCCAUUCUGUCUCUUGCACAGACUGACGAUUCAAAUUGGAAAGGCCAAUUGGUCAACCCUCUUGGAGUCUUCAGUCUAUAGAAAGUGUUUGUAAUUAAUCCUGCGGUUGCCAGAGGUCCAGCCAGAGGUUCUGCCAGGGUUUAGCCAGCCAGCCACUUAUCAUGGGCCAACGCUAUUGUUCGGUGCCGGGUUGCCACUCCUACUUCAAGCGCGAUUCCUUCUUGGGCGUGAUCUUUCACCGCUUCCCACCAAUCCCGAACGCAAACGAUUGUGGAUCCAGGCUGGUCCGGCGAAAAAACCCGACGGAUCGCCCUGGAAUCCGGGAUGCAGCGCUCGAAUUUGUUCCCUCCAUUUUAUUGGACAGAAAAAGUGCAAUGAUCCCGAUAGUCCCAGUUAUGUGCCCACCAUUUUCCCCCACCAUCAGGUGCGAAUCAACGCACUGGCCGCCAAGCGUUAUCACCGCAAGCAAAGAGGCCAUGGCCCAGGCCUUACCCGUCCAGCCUGAGGAGCGGCAGGAGACCAUUUUACGGCCAAAGUUCAAUUGACCGCCCGCCCAGCCGGCGAUCAAGCCGAAGAAACCGAAUCCGUCGAUCUGUUUGACUCCAAAGACCGUCCGGUCACGGACCUGUCUGGUCCCAUCAAGCAGUGCAGACGACGGCGAUCCCGGACUCAGAUGCCUGGGGUCAUUUUGAAUGGCAACAUGAGGCGUUCCCAGGGCCCAAGGAAAUGGUCGGCCGCCACCCAAGUGUGCAUCCCAAGUUAGGGCAAAAGCGAGAUCAGGCUGAAUGGUUAUAUCUCACCCCAUCCGGAUUCAAACUCGUGAUGAAGAGACCUUUGAACUCUGGGCCUGAGCCAGGUUGGCUCGCUUUAGGGAUGGAUUGAGGUCUCCCCUUUCAAUAUUAAUUAGUUUGAACUCAAUCGGGAUGAAACUUGCAUAGACGAUGUGUAUACCUCGCAAUUUGGAAUCGGAAUUAUCUGUCGGAAGAAAUGGUAAAUGUUCGAUUAUCCGCCUGCAUCGUUUUCAAAGAGACUUCGAGACGCUCAUUCGCCUGCUCGGACUGCCUUUGGAAUAUAGCCAAAGAUCAAGGUUCAAUGUUGGGGUGGUUUCAAAUUCAUCCACACCUAUCAGCCGGUGAUUCAAUUCUAAUGAUAUCUCUUGUGAACAAGUUUGUCAAUGUACAGUUAUAAAGAAACGUAAAACCCUUACAACGUAAGACAGGUAUGCCUAAAAUACUUGGAACAACUUAAUUACACUCUAAUGAUAGUAAGUAUUGGGAUUUGGAAACUUGUACAAAUUAGGUAUUACUUUAUGAUUAUCACGCAUACUGUCAACUUAAACUUAUAAGAAAACCGUGAUGUUACCGAUGAGAAUCAUUUGUCAAAGAAGUACCUACAUUUCAGGCAUUAAUGUUGAAAAUUUGUAGAACACUAGUUCAAUUUUAACAUAGAGUUUCAAAAUAAUUACCCAAUUAGCAAUGAGAAAUCGCAAAAUUUGAUGUUUUCAGUUGGUUUUAGUGGGUUUAGAGCAAUUCAUUUAAACCUCAUAUCAACACUGAACUUUCUUUGCUUUUGACAGAAAGAUUUAACAUUCGUGUUUUGGUCAGUGCAUUCAAGUACAAUGAUAUGCUCGAAAUUGCAUUCGAUUGGCUUCAAAGGUUCUCAUUAUAACUCAUCCGACAUGGAACCAUAUCCCAAGCUCUCUGGAAACCCCAUCAUGGACUUGCCCAAAUCUGAAAGAUCUCUCAUAGUAGAGCGAUUAAUAAAUUUGAUUUCGUUGUUGUUGAUGGGAAAUCGGGUGGAGUUUCUCCCGACAAGAAUUUGCUUCGCAUUCUGGCCAGAUAAUCCAUGUUCACUCCACAUUUUGGGCCGGUUGGGAUGUAAAACACCGAACUGGGAUCUUGACCUUUGUGCUCCGAUUCCACGCUGUGAAUCUGAGGACGAGAAAAUGAAGAAUUUCGUGGGGGAUUCAAGAUGGAAACGGGCCAUUCUCACCAAGUCUGCAUGCCACCAAACUGAAUCGCCCAUUUCAAUGUUGGGCAGUGAAACUAGGCCUUGGAGUUUAGGAUGCCAUCGCUCAGAUACGUGGAAUGUCUUCCCUGGUUGACAUCCGGGCAUGACUUGGUCUGGAACAUCUUGGAGAAACGGUCUGAGCAUCCAAUACCAAGUGGCUUCUCUUCAAAAUAGGCAGUACUUUUAGAGUGCCUUUGCCUGGACCUGUUGGGGAUGUGGCUAACCAACCUUGAAAGGCUCUGAAAAGAAAAAUAAAGACUCGGUGGUUUGAGUUUUUGCAUAUUGAUAGACCUCGGAAUGAGUUUGAGUUGAUUAGUUCAUCAGUGGGUACGAUAACCUACACGAGAACAUUAAUACUGAUUUUCUCAAAAAAGCUUACAGACAGCAUGCGAUUAGCGUAGUGCCAUCCUGGUCUCCCCCCCCAGAUUGGCCGCCAUAUUGGAUCUCGACUUUAUGUCCAUGCCCGCAGCUGUAUUUAGCUGAUGUGGUAUGCCCACUUUCGUAUUCCAACACAAUAGGAUGUUCACAAUCAACUCGAAAUUUGGCUAUGGGUUUUGUCGAUCCAGAAGUAUUCCCCCCCCCCCCCCCUUAUUGUAUGUUAUUUUAAUCCAUAGCUGAAGUGUUAUUGCACGACAAGAAUAGACUGACAGUUGAGUGAGAUUAACCUAGACGUCUGAUUUCUUGAAUUUCGUUGCUAUUGUGAUACGAUCAAGCCUUCUGAGGUGCAAUGGCCGAUAAAAACUCCAAAGCCUCAAGCCCUAACAAGAGUACCCUUCUUGACUUAAAGAUAUAGGACUUAAGGGCUCUUACAGUGGCUUUUCAAGAGCUGAAUUGAGAGCUACGAAUGCCCAUGAACUGGUACUCACUUCUGUAAACCCACAAAAAUUCACCCGCGAAGGACUAAGGUACACCCAUUGGCAUGGCCUUCUUCAUUCAUGGCAGCCUGAAUCCGAUAGUCCAUAGCGAAUGGAUCGUAUGCGUCCAAGUUCCCUUUGAAUAUUUGCUCGUACACCUUGCGGUAAACAGGAUCAGACCACCUUUCAAUCCCACCUCCAUCAAUAUGGAAAGUUGGUAUGAUAGAAUUACCGUGGAUCGACAACUCGUCCAAUCGAACUUGAAGCUUCUCUUCGACCACCUGAAAGAGCCGUCGGGCAAAGUCUGGUUCCACUUGCAUGGCCUUCUUGACCUUGGAAUAUUGCAUUGA